CCAAGGUGAGGGUGGCCUUCCUGGGCUUCAAAAGCAAAGGCUCUGGGGACCUUGGACCUGGACACUGGAUGAAGACUCUGCCAUAUUGGAUAUGCCUCUAACCAUGAGAUUGCUGGUGGCAAAGAGAAAAGGGAUGCAGUGUGGAGGCAGCAGAUAACAAUAUGAAAUGCUAAAUAGUCAACUGCUUAAGGGAUCAUUUCUCCCUUUCUGUGUUCCCCAAGAUGAAUAACAUCAGCAGCAAGGAAACAAGGCCCAAGCACAGAAACAGCACAUCUUUUUGUGCGGAGGAUGUCAAAUGCAUGACAGAAACAGG
rnacentral:lncRNA from 1 species